rnacentral:rRNA from 1 species
AACGAACGCUGGCGGCAUGCCUAACACAUGCAAGUCGAACGAAGCCUUCGGGCUUAGUGGCGCACGGGUGCGUAACGCGUGGGAAUCUGCCCCUUGCUUCGGAAUAACAGUUAGAAAUGACUGCCAAUACCGGAUGAAGUCUUCGGACCAAAGAUUUAUCGGCAAGGGAUGAGCCCGCGUAGGAUUAGGUAGUUGGUGGGGUAAAGGCCUACCAAGCCGACGAUCCUUAGCUGGUCUGAGAGGAUGAUCAGCCACACUGGGACUGAGACACGGCCCAGACUCCUACGGGAGGCAGCAGUGGGGAAUAUUGGACAAUGGACGCAAGUCUGAUCCAGCAAUGCCGCGUGAGUGAUGAAGGCCUUAGGGUUGUAAAGCUCUUUUACCAGGGAUGAUAAUGACAGUACCUGGAGAAUAAGCUCCGGCUAACUCCGUG